GCUGUAUUUCCCCCAUAGCCCUCUUCCUCCCCCUGCCGUCACCGAAGCGGAUGAAAACAAACAGUAAGGAUGGCGGCGCCGGGAAGCGACCGGCUGCUGGGAUGAAGGCAGGAGUGAUCACUUGAGCUGUGAGGGAAGCCCUGAAGAGCGCCUGUAGACGUGAGGGUGACUGUUGACUAGUGAAAAAAGGGAUCCAAGGUUCACGACUCUCUUACUGGCAGUGGAAUGACCUGUGGAAACCUGCGAUCCAUUCUCAUUAAGUAAAUCUCUGGAGUAAAUGUGAGCCAGUUUGUUGGAGAAGGCCUAUAUAUGCCCUUGGUUACAAAGAAGGGAGAAGAUUGUGAAUCACCACUACAUAGAAAAACAAUUAAGCUUCACAGUCUGUCAAUAGUCU